CCUACGGGACGCAGCAGUAGGGAAUAUUGCUCAGUGGGGGAAACCCUGAAGCAGCAACGCCGCGUGGAGGAUGAAGGUUUUCGGAUUGUAAACUCCUUUUGUUAGAGAAGAUAAUGACGGUAUCUAACGAAUAAGCACCGGCUAACUACGUGCCAGCAGCCGCGGUAAUACGUAGGGGGCGAGCGUUACUCGGAAUCACUGGGCGUAAAGAGCGCGUAGGCGGGAUAGCAAGUCAGAUGUGAAAUCCUAUGGCUUAACCAUAGAACUGCAUUUGAAACUGUUAUUCUAGAGUAUGGGAGAGGUAG
rnacentral:rRNA from 1 species